CCUACGGUCGGCAGCAGUGGGGAAUAUUGCACAAUGGGGGAAACCCUGAUGCAGCGAAGCCGCGUGAGCGAAGAAGUCCUUAUGUAUGUUAAGCUCUAUCAGCAGGAGAGCGACAAGCGGGUAUCUGCCUCAGAAGCCCCGGCCAACUACGUGCCAGCAGCCGCGGGAAUACGUGGGGCGCAAGCGUUAUCCGGAAUCUCUGGGGGUAAAGGGAGCGUAGACGGCUGAGCUAGCCUGAGGUGAAAGGCGGGGGCCCAACCCCCGGACUGCUGUGGAAACUGUGCGGCUGGAGUGCAGGAGAGGUAAGUGGAAUGCGUGGUGUAGCGGUGAAAUGCGUAGAUAUUAGGAGGAACACCAGUUGCGAAGGCGGCUUACUGGACUAUAACUGACGUUGAGGCUCGAAAGCGUGGGGAGCAAACAGGAUUAGAUACCCUAGUAGUC
rnacentral:rRNA from 1 species